ACUAGUGAGCAGCAAUGACAAAAAACAAAUACACGAAAAGCUAGAAGUGAGAUGGAGAAGAAAAAAAAAUGCCUCAAGUACUCAGAAACUGGAAGAUAAUGGAAGUCCCUGUUGUGUAGUCUUGGGGUUUAAGAACUGGAAAAAAACACAGAAAAGCCAAAGACCAUAAAAGCUUGAAUGAGAAGGAAGAGCUGUGUCACCCCCAUCUUCUCUGAGAGGUUGAAGCAGGGGACUCUACAUGUGGAUGGAUAACAAGAACAGCUGAUGUUGAGGAUGUUAUUGGAAACAGAUGGAAUUAAAUAAAAAGUCACACAUGGGACAAAGAGCUUCUCAUCAUUUCUUUUUCUAUUAGGCUCAUGCAGUGCUCCAAGAUAAGUUGUGCCCUAUACUGCCCUAGCCUGCACCACCCAAGAGCUUGGUGAGUCCUCUCUGAGGAGGGGGAAUUCAGAUGAUUAGCUCUUGAAUAAUAGAUUUAGAGAUUCUUUUUUUCAUUAACCCGAAAGGAAACUCACGAGGGCACAGUCUGAAAGAGGUGACCAUAAUGGUCCUUUGGCUAAGAGGAGCUUGUCCAUGAUCACAUUACAUUGGGAGAUAGACACAUAAAGGAGCAGCAGAAGGAGCUGUGGACAAAGGUCAGGAAGGAGCCACCAAUAAGAGCUAAGGAAAGAGUUAAAAGGACAACAAAGAAGACAGUCUGUAUAAAGAUUAGAAGUGACACUGAGCACAUGGAACUGAGGGUAGGGGUUUGGAACAGAAAACCAAAGGUUCUGUGGCCCCCUAACAUUAGGAUACCAAGGAAUUUCAUAGAGAACAGACAGGACAAAAGUGAGAACAAAAAGAGAGUGCAAGAAAAAUUCCUGAACAGAAAGACGAGAGUCUCCAGACAGUGUCUGGAAAUAUCCAUCCAAAUUCCACUUGAAGGGAACAUCUGAACAUCCCGGAGAAUCUGAGUUCCACGGGUACAGCCAGCAUAACGCACUCAGCACAGACAUGAGCAGUGCCUGACAGUGGCAGGCCGGAGUCCUUGGGAAACAACCUUCACCGUCCUGAGAGAGAAGGCCAAAGGAUAGCUUCUUUACAUUUACUCUUAAGAGGGGUCUGUGCAUAGACUCAAAAAAUUACCAAAACUAAACAAAGGAAGCAAUCGAUCUAGGAGAGGUGGGAAGGAGUUUCAAGUGCCGGGCUCUCUGCAGCAGAUCUAGAAAGUGAUCAGAGCAGAGUAGGCACCAGAAAAGAUGGGAAUUCUUCAAGGACAACUGACACACAGAGCCUGCAGCACUGGUUCCAAAGCUCAGAGAAGAUUCUGCACUUCAGGCAGUCUGGAGGUAAGUUAGUAGGAUGCUCGUUAAAAAUGAACGAGGAGCUGGUACAAUGACUAAUUCCAGCAGACAGGAAAAGGAAUCAAAGAAAAUGGAUUUUUGCAUAUAUCUUACAGCUCAUCCCUGAACGGACCGUACAUGAUGAUUCUAAUUGUGUGAAGCUUAGCGGUGACAUAUCAUUACCUUAAAAUAAGUAAAUAAAAUGAAAGAAAGUGGGGGUGAGAGUAAAAGAGAGAAGGGGGGAGUGGGAAAUGCCUGAAAGCUGUUUCCCCUAUAGUACCAGGAAGCUCUUGCUUGCAUGAGGAUAUCUGAAUUCUCUUUACAGCACUCCCUUCUACCCCAGCCCUGUGCUGAUUAGAGUCACCCAACACCUUUGGCUUUCCAGCUGUGCCCAUCUUCUCUCCUAUCUCAGAAUUGUCCUUAUCACCCCUCUUCUCCAUGUUUGAUUAUUUAAACUGUUCUCUGCACUCUGUGAAAGUCUUUAUGGCCACCCCCAUUUUCAGGGAACUUUCCCCUUUUUAAACUACCAAGGCAGUUACUAUGUGCACUCAAUUAGCCUUGGGGAUUUUGCAUUUCAGCUUUCCUGGAGAUGUGUGCAAUGAAUGCCUCUGUACAGGUCUUGAGGACAGAUUCUCCCACUGUGGCUCAUGGGGUGCCACGGAGCUGUCUACAUGUGAACAACAGGGGUUGGUUGUGACUCUCUACUGAUCUCCUGUGCCUGUGGUCCUGGACCUGAGACGACAGAAUCUGUCAUUUCUUAGAGACACUGCUUGUUCUAUGCUCGGAGCAUGGCGCCCAGGGAGAGGAGAUAAUUUGGACACAGAUGGAGUGUCCCCAGUACAAUCGGUGGCAGUUUUGUUUUGGACAAGCUGUUCAUAACAAAGCCGCGUGGGAAAAGAAUCAGCAGGUGGAGAGAGUGGUCAAAUCAAGUCUUAGCUCCUCGAGGAAGAGAAAAGGCAAGAGGCAUUCCAAGUCUUAAAGUACCGGGAGUCCACCCUCUCUUCCCAGCCCUUCCCCUGGAACGAGGAGAGACCUCUCAACUUGCUGCUCCAGCUACUGCCUUCCAUAUCUCCCCCAUAGUCAUGGACUCCUCCUCUGGAACUGUGGCCAGAAUAAACUCUCUCUUUCAUUAGUCUCUUUGGGUCACAGUGCUUUAUUACAGGAGCAGCAACAAUAACGACGAUAACGACGAUAACUAAUACGGAGGCCUUCCCACGUGGGAUGGAACGCAGAUACUCUCCAGCCAAGAAAUGUGACAAAGGAGUGAGACCAUGAAGUACAAGGCUUUGCGUAUCUUUACUCGCAAAGUCAAGAAGGCUGUGUUUCCUGUUGAUGAGCAGAUGGAAUUCUGGGGCUGUCCUGGCAAAGAAAAAAGCCCACAGUAAGUGCUGCUUGCUUACCCAGGCAGCCUGGGAAGGCGGCUCAGGUGACAUUUCCUUGGUGUAUUCCGAGGUUUGUUUGGACACCUGAAGCGUUAGUUGAGGUUGGUCUCUUGCUGCAGGGAAGCUUCCUGAAUAAACUGCAGGCUACACAGUCGGUACAGUUAAAUGAUGUUGGUAAAGAAUCGAGGCAGAUGUUUGGGAGGGGGGGAGAGGCGUAGUGUGCGUUACUCAUCAGAGCAGGUGAGGUGUGUGGUGCUUCUUGGGAGCACUGAAGAGUUCUCUAUUAUGAAAGGUGAGAGGAGAGGAGAAGCAGACCCUGUUUCUCAAUACUGACAACUCCUGGCUCUCAAAGGAACAAAUCCAUCUUUCUGCCCCUCAGCAACACAGCACUCACACAGAUUGAUUGGGGGAGCUUCCCCCCACCCCCUUUCUUCUUUUUUUUCCACUAUUCCCAAAGAAAAGCAUUCAAGUCUUUCUUAACCUUACAUUCCAGCCUCUCAUGGUGCCUAUACUCAGGAAAUACUUCUUCAGGUUUAACUAAAUCCCUCUCUGCAAUGUGAGACCAUCGCUAUCCUCCAAGGACUCACAGAACAGCUGCCUGGCACCUGGCCAGUCACACCAUUCCACGUUUCCAUUGUUCAGGGGAGGAACGGCUCUAGGCUUUUGCUGAUUGGCUCUCACCACCCAGCAGGAACUCAGGCCAGAACACCAGGCUGCACUGAGGCUGCUUUGCUGGGAUGUGAAGCACUAUUCUCCCAGGACACUAUUCUCCUAGGACUCUGAAGCCAGCACAUGUGACUUAACACUUUCUGAGAAUGACAUGCUCUGUGGGGGGUGUGUGGGGGGGACAUUGAAAGGUGGCUGGGAAUGUCUUCAUAGUGCUUCACCUAGCAAGUUUCAUAGGUGUUAUAUCUAUUGUGGUUUUUUUUAAACCUUUUCAGGUAGCCCAGGCUGGCCUCAAAGUUGCUAUGUUGCCAAGGAAGGUCUUGAACCCCUGCUCCUCCUGCCUUUGUCUUUAAAGUGCUGGGAUUCUUAGGCAUGUGUCAUAUGCUUGGCUUUAUAGCUCCCGUGUUUUAAGAUAAACAAAGGUUGGCUCUAUCAAAGGCCACACGGGUAAGAAAAGAAGCCCGGAGUUGACCCUCAAAUUAUGAGCAUGCACGUUUGGUGCCCCUUCCAAUAUAUGAGAGUGCCUCCCGAGGAACAGGAGAGUAUAUGUGGCCCUGUCUUUGCAGACCUCAGUGUAACAGGCAGCAGAGGCCAGUGCAUAAGAAAAGAAGAAAACGGCUCACUGACAACUACAGACAAGAUCACGUUUUCAAUCACUAUCAACUGUGAAGCUAGUUAGAGGGUUUGCUUAGGAAGGCAAGAAGAGGCCAGGGGAGCUCAUAGGAGGUUUUAGAGACAGAACUUCUGCUGUUCAGCCCUGACCGGGGCUUAACACUGCUCAGUCCUGCCCAGGCUCACUCCCACUGAGCUUCAGUUUUACCCUUUAGGAAGCAGAAGAAUAAGACUUUCACAAGAUUAUUGUUUAAAGUAGAUGAACUGAGUAGUAAUUAAUGAGUAGUCAGAUAGGAGAAGCUAAAUAAAGGUUUAGACGGUUCAUGUUCUGGAGCGAACAGAGCAAUCGGAGGUUAAGUCAGGAAAGGUUGUAUGAAAGAAGAAAGAAGAUUGAAACUCAGGAAGAAGACAAAGGAAGCUGCCAUUCUUCGCCCUUCUGCACUCCAAUGGGGAUGCUAUCUUGGCCUUUGAAUGUGAGGACCUACACUGUCUCUGUACACCACAGUAUGGUAUAUUCCUGUAUCAACUGGUCACAGGAGAGACCAUGGGUGGAUGACUUAUACGAUACCCAAGGAGAUGCAUUAAAGCAGAAAAUACCCCAGGGUGAAGAGUCACUUUACUAUACUGCCAUGAAAACUUGAGUGUGCUGUGAGGUUGAACAAUUAUCAGUGUGGAUAACUUCUGGAAAUGUUAAAUCUAAUGAUUCGACUUGCUUACCAUGGACCUGCUGCUUCUGAUUUAAAUGGGAGAAAUGGCCUUCUGUAGACUCCACAAAUUAUUGGAAAUGGAACUGUUGCAAUUCUUGGAGCCUUUCUAUUGACUGAUGAAGUAAAUCAUCUAGUAAAUGGAAAUCCAAUUUGAAAGGCAUAGAUUUAAAUGAGUUAAUGGGUGAACUGAUAAGGCAAAAUGGUAACAGUAAUAAGAAAGGAAAAAAAAAGAGCUAGACUUGGUGGGAAACUUUUAAAUAAGCUUUAAACAGCCAGAAGCCAGAGAGGGAAACCAUUGGGUGCUCACAUGGACUGUGGCAAAAGAGCUUUUGACAUUUGCCCAAUCCAGUGUGGAUCUGCGGAAUGCAAACCACGAGGCCACCGGUAUUUCCAAAGGCAUGCAGUACUGCUUGUGGCUGUCUGAUAAGCUGGUUAAGGUGCCCAGACUAAAGGAUUGUGGGAAAUUCAGCCUGUAUGCUUCUCUGCUGCCAAAGCAUGAUGUGGGUUUCUGUGGCUAGUGAAAUGAAGCCAGGAGUUUUUGAGGCUUCACCAUCCUGCAUGUUAUUCCUGCAUGGACCACUAACAACACACAGAGGCACUGGUCUGGGAAUCCAGUGUACAGCCUGCUGAGAAAAGAUGCUCCCCAAAUACAGGUGAGAAAACAGAAAAGGCAAGAUAAUCAUACUUACUGAAAGUCUACUCUGUACCAGGUACUAUGCGUGUUGUUUUUGUCAAUCCUCAUAACUGUCUGCCAGACAGAACUCUGAAGCCCUCUAAAGGAACUUAUUGUAGAACUGCAAUUUUAACUCAGACCUGACUGACCGUGAAGUAUAGUAAGACCAUGAUGGCUUUUCCAUCUCAUAAAUUUAACCCCUUCAAAAUAAAAUGGUCUAAGCUCACUGAGCUGUCAGUAUCUAUAUGCUGUCAGACUCGGAUGAGCUUGAGUUUCAAAGCUGUAUCCAUAUUGUAAAACAUGAGACCACUGAGUGUUUGAGUUGAGAGAUUCGAAGUUUAUUCCACUAGGCAAGAGAAAUCAAAGAAGGUUUUAGAAAGUAGUUAACAUUGGGGUUAUCAGAGUUUGCCUUCUAUUGCUGUAAUAGGCAUGUGAAAAUGUGGAUAAGCAUGUCCAAAAGCAACCUGGGGAGGAAAGAGUUUAUUUGGUUUACACUUCCAUAUCACAGUCUAUUUUUGAAGGAAGUAAGGACAAGAAUACCAGACAGGAAUUUGGAAGCAGAGAACUGAAGCAGAGAACGUGGAGGAAGGCAGCCUCCCAGCCUGUUCCCCUUGGUUUGGUUGGACCACGUUUUUAUACUAUCUACAAUGACCUGCCAUGAGUGGCACUAUCCCUGCCACCAGUGGGUGGGGCCUGCCCACAUUAAACAUUAAUCAAAAAAAUGCCCCAGACUCUUG
rnacentral:sRNA from 1 species